CAGAUAGGGAACACCCAUAGAAAUAAGUAGAAUUCUUUAGAUUGGCAUCCACCAGAUUCUUAGAGAGGGAUCUGGAAAGUCCCAGUAGUCAGGAACAACCCUUGUAUUGAGGCAGAAUCAUCCCACAUGAAUACCUCCAGUCAAAACAGACUCUAUUCUGUUUCUUUUGAAUCUUCAAAGGAGGAAACUCCUUGGUAGGCAUUAUUGGAAUUAUUCCCGUCUCCCUGGGCUGCAUCUCAUAGAUCAGUUCAGUUCUCCCUUCCCCCUCAUCUCUGAGCUCUUGCAUAAACUAACUCAUCUUGUGUUUCCCACCUCCACUUGUUCAUGGCCAUGGUCUCUGAGAGCCUAGUGUUAUUGGCCCUAUUGGAGGUAAUCUAAUUAAGAGUAAGCUACUGAUAUCAGCAUCCAGAGAGCUGCCAGAUGUACAAGAGUGCCUAUGACUGGGGAUGUUUUACAUUUGUGACAAGGUGGACUCUGUUUUGUGCACUUGAUUCCCAUGAUCAACCAUUGUGCUGACAGCUCCUGCUCUCUUUCAGUCCAUGGCUAUUCCAAGACAGUGUGUGUUUCCCACCAGCAUACAUUCUGGUGACCUUAGCUGUGAGAGCUGAAGAUGAAAAUGUUAUAGAUUUCAUAGGCUACUUUCUAGAAAGGUGUGUCUGCACAAAAUUCAAACUUGAUGUGAAUUAGGAUGAUUUGCAUUGUGAGUGUCUUUUCUCCUCAAAUACUUUUAACUCUAGUUUUUGUUAAAGGAGAUGUGUUCUUUGUUUUGGUGACCAUAUUUAGGAAUUUUGUAUUCUUUUAGAAAUUAAAUUUCAUAGUUGCUAUUGACUGAUUUAAGUACCAUACUAAGAAAUAGGAACAUGAAUUCCUUUCAUUCGCUGUUUGGAGAUAGGUGUUCAAAUAACUUAAAAUCUCACAGGUGUCAUCAAAAUAUAGAGGAUCACCUGAUGAUGCAAAUUAUCAUGUACUUCAGAAAUCUGAUCUUUUGGGUUGUGAUUCAGAAGCAAAGUGAGCAUUGAAAGGAAACAUCAAUGUUUUCAGAAAUUACAUAAUAAUUAUGAUUUUUUGUUGGAAUAAAAAUCCCAAAUUGUUAUAACAGUAGCCUUCCAUCUCUCUCAUUUAUGUCCUUAUGUAUAAACAUCUGUCUAUAUAACAUUCUCAUUUGUAUCUUUAGUACAUUUCAUCUUCUUGCUUUCUCUCACUCUUCCAUAAAUUUUGGGUGUCAUUUUGGAAAUGUUCAAACAGAGUUUAUCCAGAUAUUUCAUGAAGGUACAAUAGAAGUCAUUGACUUCUUAUCUACUAUAAGUUUGCAUUUACUAUUUUGUCUAUUUGAAGUUGGCUUAUAAAUUCUUAAGUUCUGUUCACUAUAGAAAAAAUAUUUGCAAUGUGUUUGUAGGCAAAAUAAAAUCUCUUAAGAUUUGCCUAUUAGAUGUUUUCCACAGCUUCAGUGUGAUAUAAUUUAUGUAUGAUAACAACAUCUUUUUCAGGAAUACAAUUAGUUGAUAUUUGACAUGGGUAAGCAGCAAUGAAGCCAUCACCACAGUAAGAAAGCAAACAUACUCCUCACUCCCAACAAUUUCCCCUUGUUCCUUUAUAAUCCAUCUGUGCUCCUUCUCCUCCAUAAGGAGGCAUUUGAGAGGUAUGCUUACAUUCUGGAGGCUGGUUGAGGGUUUGUAAAGUUGAUUCUUUGUGACAGAUACAUUGUAAAUGUCUUUGAGAUUCCUCAUUAUUUCAAAUAUUAUUUCAGCUUGUCCAUAUUUUGCCUGGCCAUUUCCCUCUUGGCUCUGAUGGUGUUCGGAUUCUGUGGACCCUUACCAUUAUAAUUGCCUCCUUGGGAAUUUGUGCAUUUCUAAUUUACCUCUGGAGAACCAUUCUUGCUUCGCAAGAUAAAUUCGAGGAACCAGAGCUGAGAGACUUGAGGUCCACGAAAUGUGACCAGGAAGGAAACUGGAAAAGACACUCUGAAUUGGUGGCAAAGAAGAAUCAGCUGUCAGCUGCAAAGGAAUUUUUAAAAGUAGCCACAGAAGAAAGAGAAAAGCACAAGAAAUAAAUCCAACAAAUGCAAGAACAGUUGUUGGAGGCAGAGCUGACCUUCAGACACCAGAUCACAGUUCAUGAGAAGAAUGCUCAAGACAACUGGGUCAAGGCUCGGAUUUGGGAGAGGGAGAUAGCGCAGUAAAGCAGGGAGAAAGCCUACUUGAAACACAGACUGGGCAUACUGGAAGGAAAGAUGCUGCCUGAGAGACACAGGAGGCAGGUACUGAUGCCGGGAAGACCUGAGAUGCAGAACCCUCCAGGGAGAAGUAGGGGGCACGUUGUGAAGUGCAGCAGCCCAAUUGCUGCUAUGAAACUACACAGCAUCCUUCCAGUUCCUGUGGGUGAUCACUGUGUAUCCUGGAGAGAAUCACAAGAGCUACCUAAGGACAGCAGUCACAUAUUCUAGAUCUCAUCUGUAAAGUGAAAGAUUGAACCAUCAACCUGUGGCCCGAGGAAAGAAUGCAUGCCAUUUGUGUGGAAGAUUCAGAAUCUAGACCAGUUCCUGAGAUGAACAACACUACCGUCCCUAAGAAGGACCUGGAGAUGGCUGAGUAAUCAUCACAGAUGGAAAAUGAGAAAAACCAUGCGCUGCCUGGUACUCUGUGCUAUGUACUUUGGACAAAUUUGAGUGUUGGUAGAGAAGGUUUGCUACCUCAUGUGCAUUCCAUCCACUGGGUAAGGACACGACCUACAAUACCUUCAGGUGAGUCCUGGGUGAGAUGAUCUGCCAGGUGACACAGGUGUAGUAGCAAAUGUCCACGGGACCAGCAGCCAUGAAGAAGGAAUACCAGUAACCACCUGCAGGGCCAACCCCUAACCCAUGGUUUCUGUUGUGUGCCUAUGAACGGGUUCUCCUGUGGUUUGGGUGGCUGUGCCGGCUGACAGGGUCUCCCCUGACCCACCACUGGAGUUUCACACCUACUCUCCAGACACAUUUGUUUGCAUCCAGUGAUGUAGAAUCAGCUCCUCAGCAGUCCACGGCACCAAAGGACUCUACAUUUGCUCCAUGCCUAAGCUAAGGAGCAUUCUGGCUGACGGUGAUUCAGAUCCACAGAAGUAGUUCUUUGUAACUUAGGGAUCGUGCUCCUCUCCGAAAACACUUUUCCAGGUCCCCUGUAGGACUCCAAAAAUUUGCAUCUCUUCAGAGGUGUCUGUGGCCAUGAAUAGCACUGUGGGCAGUAGAGGAUCCCUUGUCAGGGAGGGAAGCAGGGUGGGGUCAGGAGGGGGCUGGCAGCAGCAGUUUAACCCAUGAGUGGCUGUGAUUCUAUUUGUGGACACUGGGCUUCCCAUUGCCUUUCACUGUGUUUGUUCUUACUGAGUAUACAUAACCCUCCGUGGCCACGCUGGAUGUGGGGAACAGAGUGGGCCUGGCCACAAAUUCCUGUCUGUCUGGAAUAUGCUCCUUUUGGGUUGAAUGUCAUGGCCUCUGUUCAACUGGUAGGACAAGAUACCUUGACAUCCUGCCUUCUGAGAGAUGGUUGGUGAUGUGUGGUAAUAUUAAAUUCUUUCCUUUGGCAUUUUUUCCCUGCCCCUGAACUAUGUAGUUGCAUCAAACGGGAGGCCUAGGGUUCUUGGCCCUGGUGCUCUGCUCUCCUGGAAGCUGAGGGUGAAUAAAGGGCUAGGUGCUGACACCUGCUUCUUUGGGUUUCAGGUUGGUGGGCAUUCUGCUUCUGUCUUUCAUAGCAACAUACCUUUGAUUUUUGUUCUGAAGAACCCUGUGGAUUCAAGAGGAACAGCUCCUGUCCUGGGCCCACUCUGUCUACCAUAUUCCACAGAUACCCCUUCAUCACCAUGCUGGGGCCCCAGGGUACAUCUCCUUCUACCCACCCAGUGGCCUUGGGGUUCUCACCCUGCACCCCGACCUACACCACAGGGUAGGGUGAUGUGAACUGAAUGAGCUGCCUUGCAAAGGGCUUAGGUCCCAUUCAGAAGCCUGUGCUGCUCAAGGGGAUGAGAGUAACACCGUGCCCAAGAAGGUCCCAGAGAAAGAUCAGGAUUGUUUCAGAUUUGAAGACUUCCUGGAACAGUAACAACCUGGCUGUGCAGAGAGCAUAUUUAGAAAAGAUGUCAGAUCUGCCUAAGGGUCAGAGUGUUUCCCCUUCCAAUCCUGUCCCCUGUGCUUUGUCACUCCUGUUAUCCUCCUAAUAAACCUUUCAUGGUUCCUUCUCCA